rnacentral:tmRNA from 1 species
GGGGCUGCAAUGGUUUCGACGGGGUAUGAGGAGGGUGACUGAAGCCUGCUCGGUAUGAGCAACUACGUAACUGCGAACAACAUCGUUCGUUUCUCCCGUCAGCCUGCCCUCGUGGCUGCCUGACCCUUAGGGGAGAUGGGGUGAGGUCAGCCUUAUCACCCAAAUGACUCAUGGGGGCUGGAAGGCCCCUCAAACC